CCUACGGGGGGCAGCAGUGAGGAAUAUUGGUCAAUGGGCGCGAGCCUGAACCAGCCAAGUAGCGUGAAGGAUGACUGCCCUACGGGUUGUAAACUUCUUUUAUAAAGGAAUAAAGUGAGGCACGUGUGCCUUUUUGUAUGUACUUUAUGAAUAAGGAUCGGCUAACUCCGUGCCAGCAGCCGCGGUAAUACGGAGGAUCCGAGCGUUAUCCGGUUUUAUUGGGUUUAAAGGGAGCGUAGAUGGGUUGUUAAGUCAGUUGUGAAAGCCUGCGGCUCAACCGUAAAAUUGCAGUUGAUACUGGCAGCCUUGAGUACAGUAGAGGUAGGCGGAAUUCGUGGUGUAGCGGUGAAAUGCUUAGAUAUCACGAAGAACUCCGAUUGCGAAGGCAGCCUACUGGACUGCCACUGACGUUGAGGCUCGAAAGUGUGGGUAUCAAACAGGAUUAGAUACCCGAGUAGUC
rnacentral:rRNA from 1 species